UCGUGUUUAGAAAAUGGAUAACAGGUUCAAACAACAAUAUUCAUCUUCUACCGAACUUCCCAUGAAUGCCGUAGUUAAUGACUAUUACAGACGUUGGUUAUCUUACGUUAUGAAAGCUGACGAGGCCAGGCGUAGACGAAACUUAAGAAAACUACAUCUUGAUAAUAAGAGAUCAAAAUGCACUACACAAGUUCAUCCUUAUUUUC